rnacentral:tRNA from 1 species
GGGGGUAUAGCUCAGCUGGGAGAGCGCUUGCUUCGCAUGUAAGAGGUCAGGGGUUCGAAUCCCCUUAUCUCCACCA